AGAGUUUUUCUAAAGCUGCGUUGAUAGCGGAAUUUGAGAAAUUGACGGGUGAAUCAGUUAAGGAUGUAUCAACUCUGUGUGGAAAGAAUGAUUCUAUUGAGAAUGUGAGAUUACUUGUGCAUGAGAGCAUCAUUUUGGCCAAUUCUUUGGGGGCUAGAGGUCAGAGGUUGAGCAGUCAAAACACUUCACCAACAGAAACGCCAGCGGCUAAAGGAAGUGGUACUAAAGCUGUCCCUGGUGAACCAUGUACUAAUCAGCAGCUGCAAGCCAUGAGGCAGGAUUUAGAUGAAUAAAAGAACAAAUCAAAAGAUAUACAGGUAGAUGAAGCACUAUCUUAUGUUAGGACAUUGGCAGCAAGACCAAAACUUACAACACCGGGAGUAUUGCUUGCGGCCAUCGAAAUGUUGGUUGAUGCAGCUAACAAAGCGAAUCAUAAAGACUGUUCAUUAUUUUCAAAAUCCUUUGCCAUGUGUAAAAAAUUUGAAGAUCAUGUUGAUUUUUGUGGGCUUGUGUUAAAAUUGUUUGGUUCCCAGGAGGACAAGAAGAUUUCCUCCUUAAUUUCAGA